UGUAAAAUAAGCUAAAUAUUAAGCUGUUGGGUUCAUACCCCAAAAAUGAGAUUACUCUUUUACAA
rnacentral:tRNA from 1 species